UCUAAUUAAAAAGUAAAAUUUCUUAAGAUAAUGAUUGGUGUUUGCCCUAAUCUUAAAGCUAUAUAUAUUGUUGAUCGGCCAGAGGAUUAGGUAUUAUUUUUCUGUGGCCAUUAGAUAGUUUUCACCGUUAUGGUUUUUUUAUAUAGCUACUACGAUUCUGAUGAAUCGCGUUGUUUGUCAUGCAAAUAUUGUUUUUAUGGACCUUUAAAGGUCGUGUGCAUAUUGUUUGUGUUGUUUGUUUUAUUUUUUUGCAUUAUUCGAUGAUUUAUUGUUUUGCUAAUUUGGUUUUUUGGUGUGUGUUUCAGUUUUGUAUAACGUGGGAGGUUCCAUCGACAAAGCUCUCUGACGAAGGUGGUGUUGACGAGCAAAGAGCGAGGUUUGGGGAGGUAACCGCUGGUGUUUCCUUCUCCCGAAGAUGCACGAAUGAUAUGUUUUAUUUUAAUAAGACCACACGGGAUUGGCGUAGAAGAGUUGUUGCUCCGUCGUGUUUUACGGAUCGCGUGGGCUUUUGUAAGCAUGUUUUGAGUUGGCUGAAGUAUUCAUUACGACCGAAUAUUUUGAAAGAGGUAUGUUGUGUGUAGUUUACGUAUUUGUUAGAUCCUAUGUCCUAUUAUUAUAGAUGUCUUCGUGUUUUCUAAAUUAUUUGUUUGUUUUCUAUUGUCUACUUAUUUUUUGGGUUUUUUUUUUUUUUUGAUGUAGAGGACUGAGAUUGGAAGCAAAGCUAGGAGUUACAGCAGUAUCUAUUUGUUGUUUAGUUAUAUUGCUAAGGGUAGUGAUGUAUCUGUUGAUAAAUACGGAUCAUAUCCUUUGGUGUUUGGUAUUGAUCAAACCGUACCAAAUUUUGGAUCGGGGCCUAUAUUUGAAGACUCUGAUGAUGAGUAAUUAUUUUAUUUGAAUUUGUUGCUA